ensembl:ncRNA F47E1.16 ncRNA
UAAAAAUCAUUGUUCGUUCGGGAAACGACAACGACAACGACGUUGACGCAAAAGUCAUCAGCAAGUUGUGUAGUACUGACGAUGAAUCGGGCGGAGAGGCGAAAGGCGAUGUGUGAUGCAUCUUUUCCUCUUGUCCCUCCCACCCACCUU